CAUUAAAAACAGCAUUAGACAGGGAGGUCCUAGGGUAACCCCCAAAGAGCGCAUAGCUGGCCUCCAGGUAGGGCAUGUACUGUUUAACCACCCACCCACUGGGCCUGAGGGCCCAGGCAGGUUUUCACCCAUCUAGCAGACCACCCAUCCAGACCAAAAUGUUCCAACUUGCAUACUAGCAUGCUGUGGGGAUGGAAAGAGUACUUCUGGAUUUUUUUUUUAAGUUUUAUUUUUUAACUCAUGCCCAUAUUUCUAAACUAAAGAAAACUCUUCAUUGAAUUUCAUUGCAAUAUUUUCAGGUCACAUGGGUGAGAAAUAUUUACUCAGACAAAAUUUCUUUUUUUUUGCACCUAGCAUACAAUGCAGUUUAUUGAUUUUAUGCAGUAAAUUUCAUUGUGUUUCUUUUCUUUCUCUCUAGUAUAGAAAUGAGUGAGAAAUACUGUGCAGAACUGUUCUCAAAUGAAUUGCCGCCACCUUGAUCGUAGCUUGUUUUGAGAAUGAUUUGUAUUUAAACCUAUUUAUUUUGGAACAGGUUGCCCAGGGAGGCAGCGAAAGCCCCAUCCUUGGAGACACCCAAGGUCGGGCUGGACAGUGCUGUGGGCAACAUGAUCAAGCCCUGGAUGUCCCUGCUCACUGCAGAGCAGUUGGUCUAGAUGACCUUUAAAGAUCCCUUCCAAGUCAAAUAGUUUUAUGAUUCUAUGAUUUUGUUGCUAUCAGAGUCCGUGAAACUUUGUGGGUGCGUAGAUGAGGUUCAGGAAUGGUAGUUUUGGGUUGGGAGAUAACCUGAGCAGUUUAGAGAUGGGGGCCCUCAAGCACAUGAUUUCAUUCUGAGUCCUUUGUGCAAUGUGCUUGUUUACGAGCAGGUGAAUGGAUACCCGGAAAAUGUUCUCUCUUCUCCACACUUCACCCCCCAAAAGAGUUGGUACCUUCACAGCUCUGUGUUGUGUAGGUUCAGCAGCACAAAUGACUUCAAAGUCUCAAGAAGUGAUGCUACCCACUCUUCAGAGGUCCAAGAUCAACAGCUUCAAAUUUUGAUCACCCCAAAUAGUCAGCUGCAAAGAGCUGUUGUGACAUCCCCAUGCGAAUCUCAGAGUGCAGCCCAGGACUACUUCUGCAAGGGGUUUAAUGUGAUUCCAACAUGACAGGAUGUUCAUUUCUCAACACUGAAAAUAAUUUAAUAUCUCUUACUCUUUUUCAGAUGCAUUUUCAAUGUUUGCACCAUUGUUUUUCUGUUAUAACUAUCCUUUUCUUUCUUUACUCUAGAUAUAUGUUACUACUGGAAAUUGCUUUUCUUUUGUAACCAGACACUUCAAUUUGAGGGGCAGAAUAUAUGAUAUCUGGCAGAGCUUAUGCCAAAAAGAAGGAAUACAAAAUUACAUGAGAAAUAUAGAUGUAUGAACAGAAAAAAUCCUCAGUUAAAGUUUGCAUAUAUGAAAAGCUCUAGACAUAAAAUCACUGUCAACUUCGUAAUUGUGUCAUACCAAAAAGAAAAAGGUCAAUUUACCUUUGACAUACCACACAAAUAUUUAGGUGGGUGCUUGUUUCUUUUGUAAUGCAGAGAAUCUCUUCAUUAUUCUUGAACACCACUACUAAUCUCAUCUUUUACGUUCUUGCCACUGACUCUUUUCUCUUUGAAGUCAGCAGAUACACUUUCACUGAGCCUUCUGCAGUGCUCCAGGCCCUCUGCUGUAAACUGUUUGGGCUUCAGACUGUCUCCUCCAUUGUAGAAGCACAUAUUUCUCCUUGUUUUUCACUUUUUCCUAAGUUUGGGCAGUUGUUCUUUUCCACACCACCACCUUUCAGUAUAAUGGCAUAAUUCUUCCAUCUGAAUCAUAUGAAUUCAUGUGAAAUUUUCCUCUCUAAAAUUGGGGAUUAUUUUUUUUCCAUAAUUUUGUAGCCUAUCAAUAACCUGACGGAAGUUCAAGUCAGAAAAAUGCAAAAACAAAAAUGUGAAUGAAGAUGCCUAAUAUUCACUUUAAGGCACCGUGUCCCAAACUACAGUCUUCAUAACUCCCUGAUGACUUUGGAGUCCCUUGAAUCCUUUAUCUGUGCCAUUUUCUGAGCCCUUGGCAUGCUGCCAGGCUGGAGUGGCUGUCCAGCUUCUCAAAUGGAGGAGGCUGAACCUGCAGCUGUCUUUAGUGGGUUUUUACAUGGGCAGGUGGCUAUUUCCUGAAGGCUUUACAUUCUUCUUUUUUUCCUGGGCAUCUCAGAACUAGCUUAUUGUGGAGUGGCACAAUCACCAUUUACAUUUAAGCCUAAUUUGGAUUCAUAAAGCAAGGCAUUCCUCAGCCUGUUUCACCUAAGGGGCUUUAUCCAGCUGGCAUGCUCAUAGCAUGACUAAUGGUGCAGAUCAAGAGAGAAGCGCAGGAGGAGGUGGUGUUGGGAGUCCUCAUUCACUUCUUCAGAAGUACUAGGAGCAGGCAUCGUGGGCAGCCUGGCUCCAGUUCCUAGCUGGCAGAGAGAUUAGUUUUAUGCCCACCUUUCACCCCAAUCUUCCACCCAAAAGAAUUCUGAUUUGGCUUUCCUCUAUGAAACAGCUCUGUGUUUUAAAGGAAUAUAUUUUUAUUUCCAUAAGUAAAUGGAAGGAGUGGGGAAGAACUGUGCACAGAAUUUUUGCCAGAAUAGUCAUGUUAUUGUGGUGUCCUGGAGCACUUAGAACUCUUGCACAGGAAAAGGAGGGGGGUGAGCUCCAUUCCUCACUAGUGGUUAUUUUAAAAGUUUUAGAUGAUGAUUGAUUAAAAAAUAAAUAAAUCCUUAGCCUGCUGGCAGUUGUAAAUCUCAGCCGGAUGCCUAAUGCUACUCACAGGUUGAAGAGGAAAGGGAGGUACCUGCCUCAGUAGGAAGUGUAUUUUUCUGCACACCUGUCUGUUUCUCUACCCUGCUUUCUUCCUUCCUCUCAAAGGUCUUUUACAUCUCUGUCUGGAUUUAGACCCAGAAUUUACUAUUCAGUCCAAGCAUUCCCAAGCUAUGCUGAUAGCUAAGAGCGUAAAGUGAGAUUUGCCCUAAGGCACAGAACCCAGCACAUACAUUUAAAAAGCUUUGUGUGCACAAAACUGGCUAUUAGAGUGGUAUUUGAAAAUGAACAGAAAUGGAUGUUGGUAUGUGCAUUUGACAGCAGUGUGUACAAAGCAAGCAAAGAGUUGUGUCUUGUGGUUUGUGUGUCUAAUUCAGCAUGCAAAGCAGUGGGUAAGAAAGGUUAAGUCAAAAUAAUUUGGACACUUCAGAGUCUUUUCAUACCAUUUGACAGAAUACCUUUUUAAAGACUUUUUCAUGUUAGUACUCUUGAAAGGCAAAAAGCACUCAAAUCAUUGAAAUGGGUUUAAGUGUGUAUUUUUUAACAAAAUGUAUGUGCUUUAAAAAAUAAUAUUUAAGAAAUAUUCCUACUAAAGAUGUAUAUUCCCUAAAAGGAAGAGAGAAGAGUCUAAUGUUUAUAGUAUUCCCAAUAUAAAACUGGAACAAAUAAGAUGUUAUUGCAGAGCAGCUACAUCUGAAUAAAGCCAAAGGGAUUAGAAGACCUCUCUGAAUAAAGGUUAGGUCAAGUAAUUUUUUACACUGCACAGAGUAUCUUAUCUUUAUACCACUGACCUCAGGUGUAGCUGGGAUGUGUUUUUGGAAGUUCAUCUGCUACAUAACACACUGGCAAGCUAAGGGCAGAUUUUUCUGCCACUGGUGCACGGCAGAGUCAGCAUACAAUCCUGAAUUGUAUGAUUGAUGAUGAAAUGAUGAUGAAACAACAAACAAGUACAGAGAGAACUUUUAAAAAGACUCCUUCUUAAAACGAAUGUGGGAUUUUACAUAUGAAUAACUUAAACAUGCAGAGUAUCUGUAGGCUGUAACUGGGUGAUUCAGCCAACGAGUUGUUUCUAAUCAGGUUAAAGCAGAAAAGCUGUCCAGUCUAAGGCAACUGAGAGGAUCAUCAAGAUGUUGAGAGAUCAAGAUUUAUCACUGAAGAAUAUUUUCCCAGAUUUUAAAGAAACAGAGAUGUCUUUUUUUCUCUUGUAACAUCACUGUAAGGGUACCUAAGACAGAACAUUUACUAGAUCAUCUUUGAAACUUCAGAAACUUGAAAGCACGUUAUAUGGGAAGUGUAGAACUGCAUAAACCCUCUGACUUCAGCCAGCAAAGUAAAAGGGAAAUUUAAUACCCCAAAAGUAUUAACAUUGUAUUUACAGCUGCUGCUGCUGCCCACAUGAAAAAAAUGUUUCCCAGGGGCUGAGAUCAAAGGUACUGCCAGAGUGUGACAUACUCUGGGACUACGCUAUAAUAAUUUCACAGAUUGUUUCCAAUGAAAAUGUGUGUGAUAUAAACUGCAGGCGUUCACAAACAGAGAAUGAAGGAACCAAACUUUUUUUUAAUACAGGUUAAAUUUUAAAUUAGCCACACUUCAGCUGUGCAACAGCUCCAUUAAAACUACCUUCUUUAUCUAUGAUUUUCAAGGAACAUGUAUGAUCAAAGUAUCCUAGAACUUUGGUGGGACCAUGAGUCCUAUGCAACUACUAACCAGUAUAUUGCUAAUAGUAUGUUGUCCAUUUGCUACGAUUUAUUUUUGUAAUUAUUUUUGCCAUGAUCUUAGAUACCUCAUACUUCAGGAAACAUAGAUAGAAGCAGAAGGUUCUGUCUAAAAAUCAAGGCAACCCCCAAGGUUACUCUAUUUUGCAGGAUUUCUUAGCUGGAGGAAACUGUGCUGUUCCUCCCUGCUCUAUUUUGCCCCCUGCUUUGCACAAGGGAAGCAUUGCAUCAAGAAGGACAGAGGGAAGGCAGCAGUCCCUUCACCAGGCACUGUGGGUAAUGUCCCAGAGUGGUGCCCUCAUGACCCCAUUAGUGUUAAUGGGAGCCAGGCAUUUCUACUUCCAUAUACCAUGCUCCAAAUGAGUCCACUGAAGUCAUUGUAAAAGUGUUUGAAAUUAGUCCUCUGCAAAACUUGUGCUGAAAAGAGAACCUGAGAGCUGCCCAGCAGGCAUAGAUGCAAAAGCUCUGCCAUAUAUUGAUAUGUCUGAUAGCUUGGCACACUGCAAAAAUUGAAGCACUGGGAGGGGAAGGAGGUGAUGUGGAAUGUGCCUGCCUCACCUGGGCUCUGAACUGGCUGGCUUUAGAGAGGCAUCCUCAGACAGGCCUUCUCUCUGCACAUUGUUCAGCUGCUAAAAAGCACCUGAACCAGUCACUGCCGUUUGCAUCCCCAGCCCAGGCAAAGCACCGUUGACUUAUUUUGCUGUUCCAGUCUGCUGCAGAACAGCUGCACAGCCCAGUUACAUCUCUCUUGGGAGCAUGGAAGGACAUGCAUGCAUUACAGAAGGCUGACCACUAAAACCUCCCGCAUAGCUACUCUCCCAGCAGGGAAACCAGUGGCAUUCCUGCUGCCCCCAAGGUAUGGGGAGCAGGUCCUGAGGGAGCUGCCCUGCAGCAGACAGUGGCUGCAAGGAGGGUCUGCUGCAUCUGGGAACAGGGCCCCAGGGAACUUGGUCUGUGCUUUCUGCCAUGGGUGGUCCUUUCUCUGAUGUCUGAGGGGAAUGUUUAUUCCCAGGUAGGCAUUGCAACAGAAUUGCAGAUGGUACAAAAUUGUUUCUGGAAUGAAAAUGAGAAGGGGUGGGAAACCAGCCCCCAUCACCUCCUUACUUGCACCACUGCAAGUUUGUAAUAGCUCCAAUGAUUGCAAUAAUACUAUGUACUGCAAGUUCCUGGGAGAAAAGAGCCAAAUUCUUUCUUAUUUCCAAAGAUGUCUUGAAUUCCUUGACUGUUCAACUGGAUAAGCGAAGAUAGAUGGUUCCAGGUUAUGCCAAUUUUCAGUUACCCUUGUGCAUUCCCAGAAUCACCAAGUUAACAACAACCUGUUUUCUCACUUCCUGUAUUCCUGCAGCUGUGUGGUCCCCUGCAGACUGAGCAGUCUUCCAUGAGCUGUAAAACAAAAUGAGGACUGCCCUAGUUUAGGCUUUGUUUCAGAUUUGCUUGGAGCACUUUGGUUGGCCAGUAGCUUGAGGUAGCACAACGCAGGCACAUGGGGAGCCUGCCCCUGGACUGAUGGCAAUCAGCUCCAGUGCAUGGAUACACCAGGUAAAAGAUUUCCUGAUUGCAUUUUUUUGUUCUCUUUUUUUUGUGGCAGCACAGAAAGAUAUUUCACUGUUUCUUUCUUUGUCCUCAUCAAUGCAAAGUAGCCCGCAGACAAAGUAUGUGGCUGGAUAAGGGAAAGCAAUCUUUGAGCUUCAGGGCAUGAUGUGAUCCCUGCAGAGAAAGUCAUUUCUCCUCAUGCACUACCCAUGCCAUUGCACAAGCAACUACAGGCAGCCUUGUACGCGUGCUGAGGCAGGGGACAACAAGAGUGACCUUACUUCUGCUUUCCAACCCCUCACUGACCGCAGCAGGGACCUGCACAGCCCAUGGGAGCAUCUGUGAGGGUCAAAGUAGCACAUGGCCUUCCUUCCAGCUCUCCUGCCCUAAUCUGCACAGUCUAUUUGUCUGUCUGUCUCUCAAAACAGUCUUUAUUUGCCUCACCAGCAAUUUUACCCUCUGGAGAAACAGAGUCUGAUGCCACUCACGUCUCCAGAAGGAAGACGUUGCCAUUCUUGCACAUGGAAAUAGCCAUUCUGUUUAUAACUAUUUUCAUUUUGCCCUGAAUUAAAUUAUAUAUUUUAUAUAUUUCUGUUCCCUCAUGCAUUUUUCUGGGUUCCAAAAGAAAUAUGGUAAAAUAAUAUUUCAAUGAAUAUAUUUCUCAUUCUUUAGAAAAUCAGUUAAGCAUUUGAAGAAGCCUCUGAGCUUUAUGUGUGACUUUCAAGGAUGACGUGCAACAUUCUGCACAUGUUUUAGGAGCAUAAGCUUUCUUUUCCUAGAUAAAUAAAAUGCAAUUCAAACAACAUACAAACACUUUAUCAGCAAGAUGAAACUUUUUAUCUGACUCCCCAAUGUUUGGCCAAUUGAAGCUAAAAUGGAGCCUCAUGUAAACUCACAAAGGAAGAAUUAAAAAGCUAAUUAUAGCCUCAAUUUUCAUGCUGUUUUUCUACAAACUGAUUGUUCAUCUUAGAGAUAAUAGCAUGACUUUCAGAUUUCUUUUGAAAUAAUUUGUUUUCUUUAUGCUAAAGCUACCGAUUGGCAACAUGUAUAGACACAGUGCUAAUAUGACAGCAGACAAUGUAAUGAAAAGCCAAUAUAGCAUGUUGGUCUACUUCCUACUAUGAAAGUUGGCACACAAUACUCUGACCCAGCUACCCAGAUUCACUUCUAAUUCAGUGGCUCACAGAGUGGUAUGAUGACAACUGAUUUUAAAAAACAUGUUUUCCUCAAAAUAUAGUGGUCCCUAUGCUUGCAUCAUGUUUUCUUGAUAAAGCUCGGCACUAUCAUCACCUUGCCUUAUAGGCUACUUCGGUCUUCUAUUUGUUUCUGCAAGAUUUUGUAUAGUUUUCAGAAGUCUUUUUCAAUUUGGUUGCUGGCAUAUUGAGAAUGUGAAGGAAUUUCCACUCAUUAUUUCCCUUGAUCAUCUUUGAAAAUAGAUACUCUGAUGGAUGGGUAUAUUUCACUUGAUUAAAAGGAAGGGGUUUCAGAAAUGUAUAACUGCAUUCUACAGAUGAUUUCCUGUAUGUCUAGUUUUGCUUAUUCAAUAAGAUUAGAAAAGGUCAAGAUCAAAAUGAAAUCCUCUUUCUUAUUUGUGCUAAACAGAAAUUCAUAGCUGGGAUGAGAUAGAACAGUCACUGAAAAUCUGAAAUCACAGUACAAGACCUCCAUACACUUAAAAAUCAUAGCAAUGAUUGUAAGAAAAAAAACCUUCCACACUGUCUGUUUGUUCUUUCUGUCAACAUGCAGUAGCAAUAGGCAGCAUAGUUAUAGCAUGAAAUAGGAGAUCUGGUUUUAAACUUUGUUCCUUGUAUCAGUUCCAUUUUAGGUCAUCGCAACUUUUUUGUAUUUUUUUCCCUUGAAAAUCAGCUUGAUCAUUUUAUUUUACUGUUUCAUUCUGAUGAAGCAGAAGAUUCUGUGUUACAUUAUUCACUUUGCAAAGCUGUAUGACCUUAUAGGUUUUGUAAUACUAAAGCAGGUAAAUUUACCAAAGUUGAAAGAUGCAGAAUAAUGCCAUUUUAACUACAUUUCAGCAACUGCAUCUUUCAAACAGAAAACUGAACCAUCAGUCAAUGCCAGCAAUUUGUCACUAUUAUAUUUCUCUUCAUUUCUUUGCAACUAUGAAGAUAAUAGUUAUUAACUCUACCACUUCUAAGCUGGAAGCUUAGUGUACAUUAUACUUACUUCACAAUAUGGUAAAAGUAAUAACGGAUCUGAAUCACAACUCUUCUAAGUACUGGAUCAUUAAGCUAUAGUUACAAUCAUUCCUUUCUGCUGCACAUUUUCUAACCAAGGCUGACCCCAGAGGUGACAUUGGAAGAUUUGAGGUCCUUCUAAGUUUUUAUCAGAGCAAACAGAUCCUGUUUCAGUAGCACUUAAACCUGGAUUUACAGUAGUCCCAGCUGUCCUUCAGGGUCCUAUAGAGGACCAGGCUGUCCUGCUUACUUCACCUUCUCUGGAAUCUAGAUGCUUGCUGUAGCAGUUCCUGGCAUCCUGAUGACCCACUGGAUGCAUACAGGAAGCACCUGCAGGUACAGGCAAUAUUGCAGCAGUACUAAGCCUUUUAUGAAAUGACACCUAAUGCUCUCUGUGUCAUUUUUGUUGACAAACAAAGUUGGUGCCAGAGCUGGUACUCAUACAGUAAAAACAGCACUGAAUAUACUAAUCUAGAAAUCAAAAGCACAUAAACCAAUUCCCUUUACUAUCUUCCUUCCCUUCUUUUUUGUAGAAGUGUGUUUUCCAGAGACUUGCUCUUUUAAAAACGGCCAGAGAGAGGCAGAUGGGAGUUCUGGAGUAAUUAUUCCGCAGUUGGGUGCAAUUACAUGUUGCUGCUGCUCUCUAGCUGAAAGCUAUUGCAAACACCUGUUGUGCUUUCAGUCCACACAAUUCCUACCAGCUGAGCCUAAGCACAUACUCCAAUGGACACUUGAGAGGUCUUUCAGCACAUGCACAGUUGUGAAUGUUGCAUUUUUCAGUGUUCCUGUGCUUGUAGUGUCACUGUGUUUUAAGAAGCAGGUUGCUGAAUACUGUCGCAAAGGAUCCGUCAGACAAGAAAUCUGGCUCUUCCUAUGUUACAGACAUUUCUAUAUCAAGAAUAAAUUCAUUGAAUUUUUGCUUCUGACCUGUGUGAGCUGUUUUGGCAUCUCUGGCAUUUUCUAAAAAUUUUACAACUCUGCCUUGCUUCCCUUUAAAAAAGAAAAAAAGGGCUCAGUCAGUGUAUACAUCGUUCUUUUCUCAACAGCUAAUUCAUUCAAAAAAAAGUCGCACAGCACUGAACAUCUAGCGUUGCAAGUAAAGGAAAGCAUCUAAGUGAGUGAAGAACAGCAACAAAGAUCUGCAACUUACUUUGUGGUGUAGAAGGACUAAGCAUUAGGUCACCAUGACUGAACUACAUUAAACAGACUUCAGAUUUCAAGAACCAGUACCAGCAAAUUCCAUUGGAUACACAUUCAGCAGCCAAGUACUACAGUUCUAAUCCACUCCAGAUACAAGAGGCACUCUACAAAACAGAAAGCAAAGGACACUUCAAAACCAAAAGCAAAUAACACCACAACCCAAAAUCCCACUCCCUGCUAUGUCCAGUCUCACUUUUAUCUUUUGGACCUGAGUGGAGACUCAGACUGCAGUAACACGCAUAAUUCAGAACUUCAAAAGAAGGAGGAAAAUGAACUGAUGCAUUUCUUGGCAAGGUACGUGAACUUUUUUCCAACAGAACUGACUUGUCUCACAGGAGCUUUCACUAUGUUACUGCUUAAUCAGUAUCAGACUGAACAUACAGUUUCCCCUGUCACAAACUUAAUUCCUUAAAUAGAAUUCAAGGCUGAGCUCCUCAGAACAUGCUAGGCACCUUCUUUUGUCGCAUGGGAUCUGAUUCUACCUUACAGGCAUCGCAAACCUCCAGGAAAACCUGUGCCAAGAUGCCAUCUAACCACAAAGGAACUGAUCAGGUACUGACUGCUAUGCCCCACGGCUCAUGCUAACUUGAGACUUAGAAGCACAAGAGAAAGCAACACAUCUUUCACCCUAUGUAUGGCCUUAAGACUAACCCUGGUACUGCAUUCUUAUGUAACUCAAAACAAUAUCCUUUAUACACAAAUGUAGUUGUAAAGUCUUGAUCCUCCAUGCACAUACACACACCUUAGUUUUGGCAUUUCUUAAUUCUGAGUCCCUGAUGUCCAAAAGACCUGGCAUUAUAUACAGGCAGCUGUUUUCCUUUUUUUUUUUUUUUAAAUGUAGAUGACCUUGGUGUCCUGCAGGUUACUUUAAGCAGAAAAAUCCCACAUCCCCAUAAACAGAAGAAGGGACAGACUCUUUAGAAGGGUCUGUGGUGACAGAAUACAGGGAAAUAGCUUAAUGCUUAAAGAGGGUAGAUUUAGGUUGGAUAUAUGGAAAAAGUCUUUUACAGUGAGGGUGGUGAGGCAGUGGAACAGGUUGCCCAGAGAAGUGGUGGAUGCCCUCUCCCUGGGUACUUUCAAGGCAAGGCUGUAUCAGGCCCUGGGCAACCUGAUCUAGCUGUGCAUGUCCCAGGGGAGUUGGACUAGAUGACCUUUAAAGGUCCCUUCCAACUCUGAGGAUUCUGCGAUUCUAUAAAACCUAACAGAGCAGUUCUUUAGACUAUAACAUUUACUCCAGUACCUUCAGGAUGAACGGUAAGCUAUCAAGUUAUUAUUUCAGGUACUGUUCCUAUGGGAUAUGACGCUCAUUUAAUGGCACAACAGUACAGCUGCAUGGAUUUCUGUGUACCUACCUAUACUACCAGGGGAGCUAAAGCAAGCAUAGAUCAACAGCUAGAUUACAUACUGGAUAUAUCCAGCAUUUGCCAAAUCACACUGACACAAUUCUACACUUGUGAGAUUGAACUAUGGAAUCAAUCUCAAGUUGUCAUAUUAUAUAAAAUCAUUUACAUAAAGAGAAUAUAAUUGCAGCAAAAUCAGAACAACUAUAUAUAUCCCCAUAAAAUUGGAACUAGGUUCCACAUUUCUACUAAACCAAAAUUGAAACCUUUCAAGCUUAAAUUUUUGUCAGUGUAAAAAUAUUUUCCUUCCCUCUAAGAAGUCAGGGAAAGCAUUUGAAUUUCCUAGAAACUUAAUCACUCAGUUGGACAGAUCUCCUCCAAACAAACAUGUCUCAUUUGACUUUUCUGAUGGUGAAUGAAGACGAACAGUUCUGGUUCACCAUCGUGCCCUGCUCCCUCUGGAUAACCCUAAUUUUAAACCAGGUUAGAAAGCAGAAAACAUUUACUAUGCCCCCUGCCCCCCUUUGUGCUCCCUGUUUUUUUUGCCAGCAACGCGUCAGCACAACUACACCACAUCUUCUAACAGAAACUUGGUUUCUUCCUGCAGAUUCUAUUUCUAUAUUUCUUAGAAGGAAAAGAGCUUUCUUUUCCCCAUUUAUUCUGAUUCUGUGAGAUCUACUUAAUGUGAUGCUAACAAGGGAGGAUGCAAAACUUAGCCAUUUAUGUAUUUAGCUUUGUUUCAACACAAAUAAAUACAGUCAUUCCUUUCCAGUGACCUCAUGCAUCUAAACUAUUUACUCAGACUUGUAGUUAUAUACUGAGCUGAAAGAGCUGUUUGGAUAAGAAAACUAACAUUGUCAAACACUGUAUGUAGUAAAGCGUUCUUUCUAUUGUAGCUCUUUAGGGUCACACCAGAGAUAAACAUGCAGUACUUUUCACACUCAUAUGUUUACCUGGAACAGUUUACUACAAAUGCUACCUAUUUUCUAAUAGCCUUACUGCAGAGGAUAAUGGUGAAAGAAAUACUUGGAAUUUGUUAAGAAGUGCUAUUACCAUGAAAUGCAACAUGUGCCUACUAAAGCCUGAAGCAUGCUUUGAAGAAGAAAACUGUAAAAUGGGAACACAAGUAAAAAUCUACUAAAAACACUAACUCACAGGAGUUCUAAAAAAGUAGCAUAAGAAAAAAUAAAAAAUGGGACUUAGUUUCUAGAUCACAAGUCCAAAUAGCAGGGUGCAGCUUUUAUACGAAAUAUUCUUAGAAGGAAUUGACUCCCGCUUCCCAUUUCUCUUUUGUUUGUACAAUUAACUCACCUAUGAGAUAUACACUGCAUUUUCCAAGAUAUUAAUUGUGUAUAAUUUUACUGUCAAGAAACAGAAUUAAAACAUGCAAUAUGAAUACUCUUAGCAGCUUAUCCAUGUAAGACUUCAAGAAUAGAAAGAAUUAAUAAGUAGCUGAGGGGGAUAGGAACCAAUUUUGAUUUUUUUUUUUUCCAAAAAAGCAAGAAUUUCUAAAUCAGCUCCACUGUUCAAAAUAGUCCAGUGAAUAUGCAAUAUCCAGUCUGGAUCAAGACAAAAUUCUCAAAAAAAGAAAGCAAGUAGACAACUGUUUAGAAAUAUUCAGGAUGCCUAUGUUAGCUGAUCCAAAGCAAGCUUUGUAGUCUGCUUUUUCCAUUAAACUCCAUCAGACAACCAAUUUAAUGUAUAUGUUUAUCUUACUUUUCAGUUAAAAUCAAAGAUUACCAAAGAAAAUUUAUAAUUUUAUGUAGGCUUUAUAGGUUGUAGAAAAAUUAUGAGGUAUUCUGAGAAGGAAUCCUCUCAGAGCUUAACAACAGAGAAUAUUCAAUACCUUCCAGAUUCACAUUUUGCUAAUCCUUGAUAAAACCAGAUAAAGCUAAAGAUGGGAAGAAAAAAGAAUGACAGAUCUAUUUUUUAAUAUCUUGUAUUUAAUAUUGUCUUAUACAACUUGGCAGAAAGUGAGGUUCUUUGAUGCAGCUGCAUUUAUAAAGUUCACUGGCUCUACAUUAAUAUCUACCAAGGGCAAUCAGCUGGUUGCUGUUGCAGUCACCAGCCUUGAUGAUGGUUUUAAACAUAAUUGCCAGUGCCACCACAGCCACCAAAAAAAAAAAAAAAAAA